GUUCAUCACCGAUCUAUUCACCAGCAACGAGCACUACUCGUUCUCAUCAAUAGACGAGGCUGUAGAGGCGAUCUUUGCAAGCUCUGGUCUNNNNNNNNNNNGUGCAUGAGUGUGAAGCACCCUCGAUCUGCAAUGACGUAACCGAGGCAGUUGCAUGGGCAUUUGCAGAAGCACUGGAUCAUUCCGAGCCUCUUUCAGACUGGCAACGGGAUUACAUCGAGCAGAACCUGGGGAUUAUGGCGGCGCGCGCAUUUUCGAGGGGGGGGCGAUGACCCACUCAGAUCAUGGGCCGGGGAGCCCUAAGGGUGAGGUGGNAAGUGUGAGGUGGUGUGAUGGCUAGUUAUUUAGGGACGAUAACCACCUACCUUCUUGGCAU
rnacentral:misc_RNA from 1 species